CCGGCUGUUUGAAAAAAAAAACACGGGGGGGAAAUCAUUCCGUAGGUGAACCUGCGUUUGGGAUCAUUGGAGAGUGAGGUGACCGGUCUAACCUGACCUGGAUGUUCAUAACCCAUUUGUUGUCCGACUCUGAUGCCAUCCGGGGCGACCCUGCCUUCGGGCGGGGGCUCCGGGUGGACACUUCAAACUCUUGCGUAACUUUGCAGUCUGAGUAAACUUAAUUAAUAAAUUAAAACUUUUAACAACGGAUCUCUUGGUUCUGGCAUCGAUGAAGAACGCAGCGAAAUGCGAUAAGUAAUGUGAAUUGCAGAAUUCAGUGAAUCAUCGAAUCUUUGAACGCACAUUGCGCCCCCUGGUAUUCCGGGGGGCAUGCCUGUUCGAGCGUCAUUUCACCACUCAAGCCUCGCUUGGUAUUGGGCAACGCGGUCCGCCGCGUGCCUCAAAUCGACCGGCUGGGUCUUCUGUCCCCUAAGCGUUGUGGAAACUAUUCGCUAAAGGGUGCUCGGGAGGCUACGCCGUAAAACAAACCCAUUUCUAAGGUUGACCUCGGAUCAUGUAGAGAUUCCCGUCUGAACUUAAGCAUAUCAAUAAGCGGAGGA
rnacentral:rRNA from 1 species